rnacentral:rRNA from 1 species
GAAGGAAAUUAAGUACGGAAGUUCCUGAUUUCACGCUGUCAAGAAAAGCCUCUAGGAAGAGUAGUACUGCCCGUACCGCAAACCGACACAGGUAGAUGAGGAGAGAAUCCUAAGGUGAGCGAGAGAACUCUCGUUAAGGAACUCGGCAAAAUGACCCCGUAACUUCGGGAGAAGGGGUGCUCUAUUAGGGUGCAAGCCCGAGAGAGCCGCAGUGAAUAGGCCCAGGCGACUGUUUAGCAAAAACACAGGUCUCUGCAAAACCGUAAGGUGACGUAUAGGGGCUGACGCCUGCCCGGUGCUGGAAGGUUAAGAGGAGUGCUUAGCUUCGGCGAAGGUACGAAUUGAAGCCCCAGUAAACGGCGGCCGUAACUAUAACGGUCCUAAGGUAGCGAAAUUCCUUGUCGGGUAAGUUCCGACCCGCACGAAAGGCGCAACGAUCUGGGCACUGUCUCAACGAGAGACUCGGUGAAAUUAUAGUACCUGUGAAGAUGCAGGUUACCCGCGACAGGACGGAAAGACCCCGUGGAGCUUUACUGCAACCUGAUAUGGAAUGUUUGUACCG